rnacentral:siRNA from 1 species
GGGUCAACUCUGGCUAGUCUCAGG